rnacentral:rRNA from 1 species
AGGACGAACGCUGGCGGCGUGCUUAACACAUGCAAGUCGAGCGGUAAGGCUCUUUCGGGAGUACACGAGCGGCGAACGGGUGAGUAACACGUGAGCAAUCUGCCCUUCACUUUGGGAUAACCUCCGGAAACGGUGGCUAAUACCGAAUAUGACCGCUUCACGCAUGUGAUGGUGGUGGAAAGUUCUGGCGGUGGAGGAUGAGCUCGCGGCCUAUCAGCUUGUUGGUGAGGUAAUGGCUCACCAAGGCUUCGACGGGUAGCCGGCCUGAGAGGGUGACCGGCCACACUGGGACUGAGACACGGCCCAGACUCCUACGGGAGGCAGCAGUGGGGAAUCUUGGACAAUGGGGGCAACCCUGAUCCAGCGACGCCGCGUGGGUGAUGAAGGCCUUCGGGUUGUAAAGCCCUUUUGUCGGGGACGAUGAUGACGGUACCCGGCGAAUAAGCACCGGCUAACUCCGCGCCAGCAGCCGC